GGGGACGUAAUAUAGAGGUAGUAUUCUGUGUUUGCAUCACAGCCGCAGCGGUUCGAUUCCGCUCGUCUCCA